CAGAGAAUUCUAACUUAUAAAAAGGAACUGGAAGGUGGAGGGGGCGGGGAAGGACUGAACUGUGAGCCGACACCAAAUCCCUCCAGUUUCCCUGGCUGCCUCAUCUGGGCAGCUCGUGCGGGAUGAGGAGUCAGGGAGCAACUCUGCGGGCGCGGGAGAGUGGAACGCAGAGAGGAGAGAGGACGAGCGGAUCCGGGAUGGAGGGACGGACAGAGGGAGGGAGGUUUUCCGAGCGCGGAGCGUUGUUCCCGAGUGCCUGCCUUUCCUUCUCCUCACUCGGACCCUGGUACUUUCCUUUUCUCCUCUCUGAGGUUUGCAAACCAAACGUCACCAAUCAAUACGAACCCCGGCUCUGGGGUGCGUGUGUGCGUGUGUGUGCGUGUGUGAGCGUGGUUGUUGAUCCUGACCUGCUGGACUUCAAAAAUCUGCCUCUUCUGACUCCCUCCUAGCCUGUAAGUUCAGAAUUACAACCUUCUACAUCUAUGCAAACUUUUAUUUGUCGGAGAAUUCUUUUCUCUAGGAGAAAGAGAAAUUGUCACCAUGUGAACGGCUGAUUUCUGACACAUGGGGCUUUACCCCUCCCCCAGCGUGGGGAAAAAUAUCUCCCGUGGAUGUCUUUAACCUGUGCACAAUCCAUAACUUUGGCAAUGUAUAUGUAGUGUUAUUUCUGCAAGGCAGUUUUCCAGGGUUAGGGGAGGUGGUUGCAUUUUGCUAAAUGGAUCCUUUGUGGUGAGUGCAGAUUUAUGCCCAGUUUUGAUUUAUAAUUAAAUUAGCUUCUAAUUUGCAAUAUGUGCGUCUGUGUUUAAAAUGUAUCUAAUCUGUGAAAUUGAGGACUGGGGCACUUUAAAUGAAAAUCUACCUUUCGCCUCAAGGGUUUCUUUAUGAAGGGAUAGCCGGGAGGGCAGCGUGCAGCAGGAAAGUGAGGCUGUAAUUUCCAUUAGGAGAUGUCAAUCAAUCUUUCUUUUCAAUACAUCAAUUAAUAAAUCCGAUUGGUGCUGCGGGCUGCUCCCCCGCUCCCCGCCCCCCCGUCCCCGAGGCGCUCUUUUUUGGCCGGAUGGGGAAGUGUGAGGGGAAGGCAAACUUUGGCAGGGAAGUCCCCGCAGGCAGAGCCCGACCCGACCCGCCCUCCCCCCUCCCCUUCUCCCCCGCUCCGGCCCUGCGCGGGGCUCCGGGACCGGCUCCAGCCUCGGCGCGGCGCUGGGGGCGGCAGGCGAAGCCGGCGGGACUCCCUCCGUCGGCUCUCGGGGUUUGGCAGAACUAAAUUGACACAACUUGGUGAGAUACGGUCAAUUUUUUUCGCCCCGAUAGUGGGGGUGUGGACACGCGGUUAGAUCUGGGCCCGGGACCCCCCGUCUUAGUUGAUUUAUAUUUAGGCUUCACUUAUUUAAGCGACCCUCCCCCACCGUCCCACCCCACGCAGCUCUAACCCGGGCGAUAGCAUCAUCGGUUUCAUUGGUUAUUUUUCAAUGGAACCGCAACCCCUAGCUUUAAUUUUUCACAAUUAAAAAGCGGCCGGGAUGGCGGGGAACUCCUCCAGCCUGACAGCUCGCCCUAGCUCUCCCUGCUGCUAGCGUGUGCUCCACACCUACAAAUAACCGCGGAAAUGGGGGAAAGAGGGUAUUAUUGCUAUUUUUUUAAAACGGGCAAAUGCAGUAAUGCCUCUAAUUUAGCAAUUACACCGAUUCUCCUUUAUUUUCAAGUGGCGCUGGUCGUUCAGCAGAAUGUCACCGUGGUGGGCAGGCGGGUGGAAGCCCGAGGACAGCCCGGCGCAGGAAUGCCCAGUGCCCACUCGGGGAAAGUUGGCCUGGCAGGGACAGGGCAGGUGUGGGGAAGGGGGACAGCGCCAGGACAGGGAGGCACCGAGGGCCUCCCGUUCGCUCUCUGCUCUUAGAGCUUCGCAGUCAGGAAAACCGGACAAACAAAACUAAUUCAAUGUGUCACCUCUCCCUGACAGAACACACGCAGUAUUUUGUAAAAAUCCAGCUACAGAAAGGGCUGACUUUCCUGAACCCACGACCAAUGUAAAUAAGAUGCUUAGAAGGAGGAGAACAUCCUCAAACUACUCCGUUGUCAUCGUCAUCAUCAUCAUGUCCGUUUGAUUUAAAAACAGCACGAUAGGGAGCACGCUCUCACUGAACGCUGUCUCCUCAGCUUUCUUUUUUUCCUCCCAAUCACACGGCUUUGUACCCUCAGAUUUGCGGGUUACUGCCGCCGGUUUGAGUUGCUCGACACAAGCAGCGUUUUGAGUGUCUCCAGCGAGAGGGGGAACUCUGGGUGAACAGAGGGCUGCGAGCGGGAGCACGGGGGCUACGGGGCUGAACUUCGGGAAGGAAUGAAGUAAAAAGAAGAGAGAGAGAAUGAGAGAGUCUCCCAGGCAGCUCGAUCCCAUUAGCUCCGUCCUUGGGUUGCAUAUUUAUACGGUCUAGGAGGUGAACAGAUGGACUAUCAAUUUAAUUCCAUCUUCAACACCAUCAGAGAUUGAUUUUCUACUCGCUUUUAAUUUUGCCAUAAUUAAUUAGAUCAUUACAACUGUUUUCUAUUGAUCUCCCUAUUUAAACCUCAGAUGCAAAGGGACUUCGGCAGAUCCUUUAAAAACACAGAAGGGAAAAGGAACAGAGGGGUUUGCAAACUUUCUGAAGGUUUUUUUCCAGUUUUGACUUAGAAGAUUUUUAGUGCAGAAUAGCAAAAAAUUGCCUCUGUGGCCUUUUCUUUUAGGAGGCCCUUUUCGUUGCCUUUGUAAUUUUCUUUCAUGUUUGGUGAAUCUUUGUCAUAUUUAUAUAUAGUAUACAGCAUAUAUAAUAGAUUUAAUUGGUUCGAUUAUGAAAACAUAAGCUUGCACAUGUAUAUGCAUAUAUAUAUAUUCACACACAACGUGUUUAAAAUUGAGAUUUACAGAGGUGGUGCACACACAUUUAUAUAUGGGGAAACUAUCGAUUGAAGAGAUGUGGUUUUCUGAAGGGCGAAUAUUUUUAUUUGCCUCCCGUACGUGUCUCUCUGUUUGUGCACUUGAAUCCCUCUCUAGGUGGGGGAUAUUUCACCCUGCGACUCCAUCAGAAAUGACAAAGGAAAACCAGCGCUGUUAGCUCCGGUUCCUAGCCUCGGUUCCCAGCGCUCGCCGCAGCCUUUCUUUUCCAAGCCUCCCCUGCAGCAAACGACUGGCAGCCGGGGCAACAGCUCGGCUCUGUGCUGACAGUCGGUGAGAUUUGUAUUUUAAACCUCUAUGUUCUUUCUCCACCCCCCCCCCCCAAAACAAAAAAAUCCCUUACUUAAAAGCUCUGUUUAUAUACUUAAUUUGAGGGAACCAAACCGCGUAAUUGUGCUUUUACCGCGAGCGGCAGCGCCGAGGAAAACCUCUCCGGCGGGGUUUGUUUGAAGCUUUGUUUGCAAAUCAUAAAAUUGCUGACUGGGAGACGGGGGCGAUCCGGAGACGCGUCCGUCGGCGGAGCAGGUUUGGGGGGCUCGGAGGCAGCCCCCGCUCGGGGGCUCGGCAGCGCCGGCCCCCGCCCGCCUCAGCCCCGCGCUUAGCCCGCAGAGCCCGGCACGGCGCUGGGCUGCCCGCGGGCCCGAGGCGGGACACGCACAUCCAGAGCCUGCACGGCGAGCAAAGUUUCCCGGGGUGGGGAGGCAGUCGGUGGAGGAAGAGUUUAAGCAAUGCCCUGAACUUUCUGCGGACGGGAGGCACCUCCGGGGCUGGGGCAAAUGGACAAAGGCCGGUGCAGGGGGCUGGCUCGGCCGCCCGGGGCGCCUGGAGGGCGGCGAGGCAAAGCGCCCGGGGCCGCUGGCGGUCGGAGCGGCUCGGGAGGGGAGGGAGCGGGGCUCGGCCCGGCGCUCGCUCCGUCUGGGGCUCCGCUGCGGGUCCUUGCCAAGCUGCCGCGGUAAACACCCCAGCCUUUCGAGGGGUGCUGGAGCGCACACCCGUAAGGAAAAGGGGUAUUUUUCAGUGUUUAGGAAAAUGUUAACAACGCGGACUGGCGAAAAGCACACCCCAGACAAGUGGAGAAUUGUAAAAAUAAGGAAGGCGGAGGGAACGCUUUCCUUCAUAUCACUUAAAAAUCAUCGAUUGCCUCUUCAAGCAAAGAAAAGAAAGUUUCAUUUUAAAUAUUAAAAUGGGGCACCAAAAGUCAAUAAUUGCAGCAACGAGUAUUUGCCUCUGACGCCUUCUCCAGCCCGGUCUGCAGCAGCCGCUGGAUCUGUCUGGAGUGGCUCCGCAGCUCCCUGCAGCCCGAGCCCAGCUCGCAGCCGCGCUGAAACGCUUCCUCGCAAACUGGUGCCCCACGAAUGGUUGCAGUGUACCUGUUUGGCUCUACACCAUCUCUAUAUACGUGAAUCUCUGCUCUCUACCCAGCCGACACGUUGGACGCCCACCCUCGCAUUUGCUCCCGAGGGGAGCGCCAAGCAUUAUCCCAACACCUUUCGCUUCUGUGGCGGGAUCCCCGGCGUUUCUUCCCCCCCCGUGAGUACUGCUGUGCGCCUUCAGUGUGCCCUUUCGCUCAGCACUGUUCAGAUGUAUUAAUGCGAGCUGUUAUAACUAUAUCUGCAUGUAUUUCACAAUUAAAACAUUUCUUGGCGAACCAGGAAAACCCGAGGCAGCAGCUGGGAGCGUUGCUUGCCCUGGACGCCUGUUCCUCCUUGCGGCAGUAGCCGUGAGACUGAGACUACGGGGAAAGUGUUCUACGACACAUAUUUUAAUAUCAGUUUCCAUAUUAAUCAAUCACCUCAAACAU